GGCGGGACAAGCGGCGGCGGCUGACGCGAGCCUUGCUGUGUUAUUGUUGACCAGCGAUGCUAACGAUUCGCUACAUUUCUGGCUCUAUCCGCUACAUCUUGCGAAGACCCCACCACCUCCACUGCAGAGUUGACUUACCGUCCUGGAAUUGUCAGGAUGGAGGGACUGCAAAGUGCGGCGCAGGUAGCUGUACAGCCCAAGCAUUGGAAGGAAGUCAAUAUCCGUGAGGAAGAUGUAAGGUGUGUUUACCUGCUGUACCCCAACAUUGCGCAGGAAAUUCACUGGAAAGAAAUUCUGAGGAAGAAAGAACAUUCAAUCAGACAAUCUUAAGAGAACACAGCAUUUUGAUCUUAACACAUAAAGAUCAUUAGUCAAUUAGAUAAUUUUAUAGUUGAGUAUUUUGAUAUAAAAAAAGAUCAUUACAUUUUAUUUCAUUUGCAUUGAACUUAAGACUCACACAACAUACUUCAUAAAGGGGAGGGCACUGUCACAUGACUGAUACAAUAUAGGAUGCUUAAUCAACUAGCACAUAUAAAAUAUAAAGAAUAAACAUUACACACCUAUAAUCUAGCACCUGAACUAUCAUGGUUAUAAUCUUUCAGUGUGUACUUGUAUUUGCCAUAGGCACUAGGUCCAGCUUAUUCAUUCAAAUAUGUUUCUGUGUACUAUCAAUAUCACUUGUAUCUGACAACACAA